rnacentral:rRNA from 1 species
UACGUAGGGUGCAAGCGUUGUCCGGAAUUAUUGGGCGUAAAGAGCUCGUAGGCGGUCUGUCGCGUCUGCUGUGAAAACUCAGGGCUUAACCCUGAGCUUGCAGUGGGUACGGGCAGACUAGAGUGCGGUAGGGGAGACUGGAAUUCCUGGUGUAGCGGUGAAAUGCGCAGAUAUCAGGAGGAACACCGGUGGGCGAAGGCGGGUCUCUGGGCAGUAACUGACGUGGAGGAGCG